GGGAAUGUGGCUCAGUGGUAGAGCGCUUGCCUUGCACAUAUGAGUCCCUAGGUUCGAUUCCUCAGCAUCCCA
rnacentral:tRNA from 1 species